AGAGUUUGAUCCUGGCUCAGGACGAACGCUGGCGGCGUGCUUAACACAUGCAAGUCGAACGGAAUCCAUGGUGUAGCAAUACACCGGAAGAUUUAGUGGCGAACGGGUGAGGAUCACGUGAGAAACCUGCCCCAGACUUUGGGAUAACAAUUGGAAACGAUUGCUAAUACCGAAUGACGUCGGAGAACCGCAUGGUUCACUGACGAAAGGAAAUCCGGUUUGGGAGGGUCUCGCGGCCUAUCAGCUUGUUGGUGGGGUAAUGGCCUACCAAGGCAACGACGGGUAGCUGGUCUGAGAGGAUGAUCAGCCACACUGGGACUGAGACACGGCCCAGACUCCUACGGGAGGCAGCAGUGGGGAAUCUUGCGCAAUGGGCGAAAGCCUGACGCAGCAACGCCGCGUGCGGGAUGAAGGCCUUCGGGCUGUAAACCGCUUUCAGCAGGAACGAAAAUGACGGUACCUGCAGAAGAAGGAGCGGCCAACUACGUGCCAGCAGCCGCGGUGACACGUAGGCUCCAAGCGUUGUCCGGAUUUAUUGGGCGUAAAGAGCUCGUAGGCGGUUUAGUAAGUCGGGUGUUAAAACUCUGGGCUCAACCCGGAGAGGCCAUCCGAUACUGCUGUGACUUGAGUUCAGGAGGGGAGCGGGGAAUUCCUAGUGUAGCGGUGAAAUGCGCAGAUAUUAGGAGGAACACCGGUGGCGAAGGCGCCGCUCUGGACUGAAACUGACGCUG
rnacentral:rRNA from 1 species